rnacentral:sRNA from 1 species
GCUGGGCACGGUGGCGCACGCCUGUAAUCCCAGUGGCAUGGGAGGCUGAGAUGGGAGGCUGAGACGGGAGGAUCUCGAGUUCAAAGCCAGCCUUAGCAAAAGGGAGGUGCUAACCAACUCAGUGAGACCCUGUCUCUA